CAGCGCCGCAAGUGGGGACCUCUUUUAUUGGGCCUAAAGCGUCCGUAGCUGGUUUGGUAAAUCUCUUGUGAAAUCGUUAAGCUCAACUUAACGGCGUGCAGGAGACACUGCCUAACUUGAGACUGGGAGAAGUAUAGAGUAUUCCGGGGGAACCGGUAAAAUGGGAUAAUCCUCGGAGGACUACCUGUGGCGAAGGCGCUAUACUAGAACGGAUCUGACAGUGAGGGACGAAGGCUAGGGGAGCAAACCGGAUUAGAUACCCGAGUAGUCC
rnacentral:rRNA from 1 species